UCCGGUUUGUCACCGGCAGUCUCAUUAGAGUGCCCAACUAAAUGUAGCAACUAAUGACAAGGGUUGCGCUCGUUGCGGGACUUAACCCAACAUCUCACGACACGAGCUGACGACAGCCAUGCAGCACCUGUGCACGGGCUCCGAAGAGGGCUCACUGUUUCCAGCAAGUUUCCCGUGCAUGUCAAGCCUAGGUAAGGUUCUUCGCGUUGCGUCGAAUUAAACCACAUGCUCCACCGCUUGUGCGGGCCCCCGUCAAUUCCUUUGAGUUUCAACCUUGCGGUCGUACUCCCCAGGCGGAGUGCUUAACGCGUUAACUACGGCACCGCAGGGGUCAAUACCCGCAGCACCUAGCACUCAUCGUUUACGGCGUGGACUAC
rnacentral:misc_RNA from 1 species